CAAACCCAGCUCGCUAACCGGCGCGGGCAGAGUACAGCUCCCAGGCUCCCGAAGCUUCCCACAUCUGGAGGAUGACGACCCUCCCCUGACCACAUCUGGAGGGCGUCCAGCUGCGAGCCAGCGGGGCACAGCUCUCUUCUCCUGGCCUGGAUCCCCACCCCCCUAACCCAGGAGGACUGAGAAUCCCAUCAUCGCGUGCACAUCUCAUCCCAGGAGGGAGAGAGGAGCUGCCGAGUAGAAAGCAGACUGGCUGCAGGGACAGAAGACACCAAGGGCACCCUCCCCCACAGCUGCGCCUGGACCUCCUGCGAGAAGAGGAAGCCUUAGGGGUCUUUAUUGUACCCUCAAGACCCCAGAGAGAAACAGAAGUGCUGAGGGGUCGCAGGCAGGUCUCUUACCCUCUCUGGGCCUCGAAUAUUUAUCCAUAGGAGGCUGAAGGUAACUGCCUCGCAACUCAUUCAUGAGGGUCAAUGGGACGACAGUGGCAAGAGGGGUUGGCACACUGCCCAGACUGUUCCAAAGCCAGGGCUGGGGCUGCCAAAAAGGCCACCUGUGCUUCACCAUGUUCCAUCCUCCCUCUCUUCCACCUCCCCAGGCUGGGCUCCACUUGUCCAGCUCUCUGACUUCCUGGCAAGGUUGAGUGGGCUCCAGCUAGGAAGGGGCCAGCUGACCUUGUUGGCCGGAGCACUAAUCCCCUCCAGAUGGGCUGGUGGCUUGCACUGAGGGCCUGGCUGCCCAGACAGAGCUGACUCUGGUCCCAGUGACCAUGUGUGGCUGUGUGACCGUGUGAAGGGAGCAAUUCCAUCCAGUCUCCCGGUUCCUUCCUGCUUCACUCCUCCCCACUGCUGACAUCCCCCACAAGCAGUGGCCCCAUGAAGGCCUUCUUGUCUCUAGUAGCCUCUUUUGGCUCUCUGUGUUGCUUAGCUGGGGGGCUGAGGAUGCCUGGCACAGCCGAUUCCCAAAGGCCUCAGAGGGACAGCUCCUCCCCCUGCUUCCCCUACCCCCUGUCAGCCCCAUCACUCUGCACCUGCCCUUCCCAAAGCAUGUGUCCCAGUCCCCAUCCCUCAACCCAAGGAAGCUAGACCCAAGGAAGAUGUAUGUGUCAAGGACAGGACUCAGGAGCAUUUCCCAACAUUUAGGGGAAAGGAUGAGGUCACAGGAAGGCUUUCUCUGCAGCAAGAAGGACUCAGAUAGAUUUGGGGAAGGACUUCCAACCCAACAGAUGUUCCAAACGAAAGAGAACUCUUUCUUUGGACCAGCUUGUAUGAAAGCAGACGAAUGGACAACAUGACCUCCUGCAAGGAGGCCUUGCUUCCAUCCUUUCGAGGCUGGGGCUAGAUGGAUACCCCAAAAGAAAUGUCUUAGUCGUGACAAUAGCAGCUCCCACAAUGCACCAGGGCAUAUGCAAAGUCACCAUUCUGUGAAAUAUAAAAGCUCAUAUAAAGCA
rnacentral:antisense_RNA from 1 species